CGGCAACACCUCCGACAAGACCAGCGCUACCUCCAUCUUCGAGUCUGGCACCACCUCCAUGGCUUUGCGAGCGUGAGCGGCGAGCGCGACGAGAGCAGCGAGGGCGAGCGUGAGCGAGCGGCGGUGGCGAGCGUGAGCGCGAGCGGCGUCGGCGAGCGUGAGUGUGAGCGGCGAGCUGCAGGUGCGGCGAGCAUCGUGCGGCUUAAGAAUAGAAACGAGGCGAGCGGGCGCAACGAGCGGCAGAGCACGGCCGACGAGAGCGGGGCCGGCGAGCACGAUGCAAGCAGCGGCGGUGUCGAGUGCGACGAGAGCAGCGGCGGCGAGCGCGACGAGAGUGCGGCCGGCGAGCGCGACGCAAGCAGCGGCGGUGGCGAGUGCGACGAGAGCAGCGGCGGCGAGAGUGACGAGAGCGCGACCGGCGAGCGCGACGCAAGCGGCGGCGGCAAGCGUGAGCGGCGAGGUUGA
rnacentral:lncRNA from 1 species